AAGCUCGUAGUUGAAUUUCGGGAUUAGUACGUUGGUCGUGCCUUAGGUACGUACUGGUGUUACUGGUUCCUACCUUCUGACGAACCAUCAUGUCAUUAAUUUGGUGUGGUGGGGGAAUCAGGACUGUUACUUUGAAAAAAUUAAGAGUGUUUAAAGCAGGCUCGCGCUUGAAUACAUUAGCAUGGAAUAAUGAAAUAGGACGUUGGUCCUAUUUUGUUGGUUUCUAGGAUUGACGUAAUGAUUAAUAGGGAUAGUUGGG
rnacentral:rRNA from 1 species